UGAUGGUGAUGAGGGAAAUCACAUAGCAUGGACUUAAACCUUUCCCAAGCUUAGUAUAUAUUCUCACCAUCUUUAUGCAUGAAACUCGAAAUUUCACUUCUCAGCCA
rfam:Capsicum annuum cultivar Zunla-1 chromosome 6, whole genome shotgun sequence